AUGUCUAUGCAAUUUCAAGAUGAUGCAGAUGGUAUACCUCCUUCUGAGGCUGAAAGUAGGAAUGAAAGGCCCCAAAGGAUAAAGCACCCUUCAGCCAAGAUGCUAGCCCAUCUAAUAGAUGAAAAGGAGCUCCUCCAUGUGAGGUUAGGUUCGGCAUGGGAGCGAAUUGUAACAUUAAUGGACAGAAUUGAGAGCUUGGGUAUUACAAGGGUGCCAUCCAUAUUACAGACAGACCUUGAAGAGACCUUCGGUAUUUGGAGGGGUUUGGUGUCUAAGAUAGUCCAGGUCCUCGAGCGCAUUAACGCCAAGGAUUCAGAGUUAGAAAUAGUGAGUGUCUUAGCUGACACUAAUGAGAAAGAAAAUAAGGUGAGGGCAAUUCUAGAUGCCUUGGAAUUUAGUUCUCCAUCUGUUAAUCUAAGGUCUGAGCCAAAAGGAAAUCAGUCUUCCUUAUGCAGCCAUGAGACCAAUCUUUUAAAAUCACCUGCUGUGGCACUUAGUCUUAAGUCCAACCGCUCUAGCCAGGUAUCUAAGCUAAGGGAGCGUGCAUCGUCUAAACACAGCCACUCUAGCAAGUCUUCUGCUGCUGGGAGUGCCAUCUCUUCCCUAGCUGCCUUGCACAUUAAGGAGGCUGCACGUCUGGAGCUACAGAGCAAGGUUGCGGAGGCGGAAGCUGAUGCAAAAGCAGCUGACCACACUUUCCACCUUAAAGAGGAGGAACAGCGACUCCAAAUAGAACAGGCCCAAAGGCAAUGUGAAAUAGAAAUGCUUAGAAUAAGGAUGGAUGCUACUGCCAAAAAGGUAAAGGCUGAGACUUUGGCCAAGGUCCUAAGUGGGCAGCUCACAGAAGAAAAUGUAAGUCAGUUGCCGAAGCAGGACCCUUCUUCCAAGGUGCUUGUGCAUCUUAAUAGCUUAAACAGCCAGCUUUCUGACGAGGAACAUGAAGACUUCUCCGUUCGGUCAGAACAGGGCCCUAAAGUUGCCUUCGGGCUGCCGGAAGUUCAAAGCGUCAUAGCGGGGAGCUCCUCUUUGCUCAGUUUGCCUGUGCCUCCUACUAAGAUUCCCGAGCAGUCAGCCAAACCAUCAAAGCCUAUCACCAAUUGGGCCCUACAAGCAAGUCCAAAAGGAACCAUCUGUCCGUCUACAGACGAUGCCUUCCCUCCAAAGGGUCAAAGGUCGACACCAGGAGCACGGGAUUUCUCCCUGCAGCAGCCAACGCCACAUAAGACAUCGUCAACACCAGAAUCCCAACUCGUCUCGAUCCUUAGAAGUCCCAAAAGAGACCUCAAGGACAAGGGAGUCGAAAAGUUUUCAGACAAGCCUGAAGAGUUCCUUCUCUGGAAGGUUACCUUCAAGAGGGCAAUUAGAGACUUAAAGUUGUUGCCUGAAGAAGAGCUGACCCUGCUAGGCGCCUGGUUGGGUCCAGCAUCAUCUUCUCAAGUUAAGAGAAUAUAUUCAGCCCAUGUAGCUGAUCCCGACAAAGCCUUGGAAAAGGCCUGGGACAGAUUACAUCAGCGGUAUGGAGCUAGCACGGAGAUUGAAGCAUCUCUAAUGGACAAGCUGCAAAGGUUCCCAACCUUAAAGCUCAAGGACUGCAAGCUCUUGUGGGACCUCAGUGAUCUUCUUGCAGAGUUAGAGUCGGCCAAGGAGAAUCCAGAGUUGCCUGGACUGCAGUGCCUCGAUCAGCAUCUGUCCCAGCGGCAGAUUCUGGACAAACUUCCCUUUGCCCUGCAGGAAGACUGGGGGAAACAGGUUUUUAACUACAAGGAGGCCCAUUCUCAGGCGUACCCACCGUUUUCCCAUCUGGUCCAGUUCAUCACCAGAGCGGCCAGGGAAAGGAAUGAUCCACAGACGGGCCUGCCCACCUUAUAUCAAGGGAUCCAUACAGGGAAGGCGCCUGAAGUGGACAAGAAACCACCUAGAGAGGCCAAUAGACCUGUCAGCGUAAAGGCAGUCGAAACUCAACACAAGACUGACAAAACCAGGUCAGAAGUAAAGGAGGUGCUCUGCCCCAUUCACCAAAAGCCUCACAGUUUGGCGAACUGCCGGGAAUUUGGCAAGAAGCCUUAUAAAGAAAGACAACAGAUUGUACAGAAGCUGGGCAUAUGUUUUAGGUGCUGUGGAGCAACUCCUCACUUUGCUUCCAACUGCAAAGAGGACGUCAAAUGCGCAAGGUGUAACAGCCUUAAGCAUUGCACCGCGAUGCACAACUCUGACGCUGUCUCCCGCGCCAAAGGGGACACGUCUUCCAAAGAAGGGUCAUCUACUGAAGCCACCAACAUGCAGACCGCGUCACGGAUGCAGGAGGAUGCUCCAUCGGUCGCCUGUACUGAACUAUGCUCUGACGUGCACCAGUUCAGAGUCUGCCAUCCCAUCUGCCUAGCAGAUGUAUAUCCAGCCAGAAGACCUUGGCUUAAAAAGAGACUUUACGUGGCUUUGGAUUCACAAAGCGACGCCUCCCUGGCGACUCCAGAGUUUUUCCAACUGUUUGACAUAAAAACCCAGACGGUCGACUACACCAUGUCCACCUGUGUAGGGAAGAAGAAGUUGCAGGGUCGCAUAGCAUCUGGCUUUGUUGUUUCCUCUUGCGACCAGAAGAGGCAGUUCAAGUUGCCAGACCUCAUUGAGUGUUCCUCUAUUCCCCGGAACAAAAGGCAGAUUGUCACCAGAGAAGUCGUGGAAGCCCAUCCUCACUUGCGAAAGCUGAAGAACGCCUUACCUGCUUUCCGUCCAGAUGUGGACAUUGCCCUUCUGCUUGGUGCGGACUGUCCGAACUUGUUCUAUGUGAACGACCAAGUUAAGGGACCUCCAGGGGCGCCCAUUGCUCAGCUGCUACCACUAGGCUGGACAGUUACAGGCCCAGUGUGCAUAAACAAGAUGCACCCACCAUCGUCGUUGGACUCCAAUCAAGCACAGGUGCUUAAAGGUGGACGUCCUACACUUGUGCGCAGUUGCCUAAGUCACAUCUCAGUCUACUGCCAAGCAAUAACUCCAGAGUAUUCCUCCAUUUUCAAAGUCUCUGAGAGAGACGAAGCCACAGCGCUCUCGAAAGAUGAGCAAAGGUUUUCGGACAUUAUGAAUGCUCAAGUCUCACGAAGUGCAGAGGUGAAAGCCUGCAAAUCAACCACAGAAAUCAAGAUGGGCCAAAGAUCUUGCCUGGAACCACACCGUUUUGAAUGUUUUUCGGAGUGGCACAGUCUUCUUAGAGCAGUUGCUAGGCUUAUACAUCGUUUAGCUUGCAAAGAUAGUGAGCCUUUACAGGUCCAGGAUAUGAUAAAGGCUAAGAGCGUCAUAUUCAAGUCAGUACAGAGAUCUGCUUUCAAGCAGGAAAUAGCUAGGCUAGAGCAAGGGCUCAACAUCCCUAAUCAAAGUCUUCUAAAUGAGUUAAACCCAUUUCUAGACAAGGAGGGUAUUUUGAGAGUUGGAGGAAGGUUAGCCAAAGCUAAACUCAAGGCGUGCAUAAAAAACCCCAUCAUCAUACCCCCUAAUAGUCACACUGCAUUGCUGCUCGUUCGGCAUCACCAUGAAAGGAUCCAUCAUCAGGGUAGAACUCUAACUGAGGCAGCCCUUAGAAAUGAAGGUCUGUGGGUAGUUAAUGCCAAAAGGUUGGUCAACAGUUGUAUUUUCAAAUGUGUUAAAUGCAGGCGCCUUAGGCGAAACUGUCAAAGUCAGUUGAUGGCAGAACUACCUCAGGAUAGGACUUUGACAGACCCACCCUUUUCCCAUGUGGGAAUCGAUGUGUUUGGUCCUUGGGAGGUUGUCACUAGGAAAACCAGGGGUGGUGUUGUAAAUAACAAGAGGUGGGCAGUUUUGUUUACUUGUUUAGUAAUACGAGCUGUCCAUAUAGAAGUCAUAGAAGGGAUGGACACUUCAUCAUUUUUAAACGCAUUAAAAAGGUUCAUAGCCCUCAGAGGGCCAAUUAAGUCAAUUCGGUCGGACUGUGGCACCAAUUUUGUAGGUGCGACCAAAGAACUCAAUUGUGUGUCUAGGUUUGGGAGAGACCCAAAGGUUCAGAACUUUACGAAUACUGAACAAAUUAUGUGGACUUUCAAUGUUCCUCACGCCUCCCACAUGGGUGGUGUUUGGGAGAGGAUGAUUGGUAUUAGUCGCAAAAUCCUUAAUGCCAUGCUUUUGAGUCAUAGGUCAUUGACGCAUGAUGUUUUGGUGACACUUAUGGCGGAAGUUACCGCAAUUAUCAACAACCGGCCGCUGGUUCCCCUUACCAGUGACCCUGAGAACUUACAACCACUGACUCCUGCACUUAUUUUGACACAAAAGGUGCCAGGAUGGAAGGACAUCAUGUUGCCAGUUCCGGACGGAACUCACCGUGCCCUGUGGAAACAGGUGCAGUCCUUGGCCAACCACUUUUGGAAAAGGUGGAAAGCUGAGUACUUAAGCCAGCUUCAAGCUAGAAGAAUCUGGCAAAGCCCACAGGACAACAUUGAGGUUAACAACGUUGUGUUGUUAAAGGACAAAGACUUGCCCCGCCAUGCGUGGCCCAUGGGCAUUGUAUUAAAGACCUUUCCUUGCCCGGACGGUAAGGUCAGGAAAGUUCAAUUAAAGACUUGCAACAGAGGCAAAGUGUCCAUUUUGGACAGACCAAUUAGUGACCUCGUGUUGCUUAUUGGAGAUGUUUAA
ensembl:lncRNA